rnacentral:rRNA from 1 species
GCGUAAAGCGCGCGCAGGUGGUUUCUUAAGUCUGAUGUGAAAGCCCACGGCUCAACCGUGGAGGGUCAUUGGAAACUGGGAGACUUGAGUGCAGAAGAGGAAAGUGGAAUUCCAUGUGUAGCGGUGAAAUGCGUAGAGAUAUGGAGGAACACCAGUGGCGAAGGCGACCUUCUGGUCUGUAACUGACACUGAGGCGCGAAAGCGUGGGGAGCAAACAGGAUUAGAUACCCUGGUAGUCCACGCCGUAAACGAUGAGUGCUAAGUGUUAGAGGCUUUCCGCCCUUUAAGGCUGAACUUAACGCAUUAAGCACUCGGGCUUGGAAAGUCCGGCCGCAAGGCUGAAUCUCAAAGGAUUUGACGGGGGCC